rnacentral:rRNA from 1 species
UACGUAGGGUGCAAGCGUUGUCCGGAAUUAUUGGGCGUAAAGAGCUCGUAGGCGGUCUGUCACGUCGGCUGUGAAAACCCGAGGCUCAACCUCGGGCCUGCAGUCGAUACGGGCAAACUAGAGUACUGCAGGGGAGAUCGGAAUUCCUGGUGUAGCGGUGAAAUGCGCAGAUAUCAGGAGGAACACCGGUGGCGAAGGCGGAUCUCUGGGCCUGUUCUGACGCUGAGGCGCGAAAGCUAGGGGAGCGAACAGG